UACGGGGGGAGCAAGCGUUGUUCGGAUUUACUGGGCGUAAAGGGCGCGUAGGCGGUCGUGACAAGUCACUUGUGAAAUCUCCGGGCUUAACUCGGAACGGUCAAGUGAUACUGUCGGACUAGAGUACAGAAGGGGCAACUGGAAUUCUCGGUGUAGCGGUGAAAUGCGUAGAUAUCGAGAGGAACACCUGCGGCGAAAGCGAGGUCCUGGACCCUUACUGACGCUGAGACGCGAAAGCCAGGGGAGCGAACGGG
rnacentral:rRNA from 1 species